UAUAAGCAUAAUUAAAGAACAAGUGAAAUGCUACAGAGAGAAACAUUAGAAACAAAGUAUGUAUUUGUCCUUCCAUAAUUAUACAUAUCCUUAUAAACAAAGCAUCCUCCUAGCAUAAGACUUCAAGUUGACUAGAAAGCUUGCUGAGGGUAUUGAUGCUGUGGUUUCUUUUAAUAAGUCACACUGCUGGCUGCCGGGUGCUACCCAUCCAUGCUCUACUAUUCUUCAUUGUUUGCAAAUGUCCUAGAAGUAAGCCAAAGUCCUGAGCUUUGAGCUCUGUUAUUCCUGAGAGGUGGAAUCUAUAUUAGAAUGGCAAAAACUCCAUUUAAGGUGGCUUAAAUACCAAUAGUCUCACAAAAUAAAAGAUACUUAAAAUGUGAGUAAUAUACACGAGAAGAAAAGUGGAAGCAGCAAAGAAAACAUGAUUCAAGAGUAGCAAAAAAUGCAUCAACUUGAUUUUUUUUCUCCAUUAACUCAGCAAACACAAAUAACCAAGUAUCAGAUAUUGUGCUUGGCACUGGAGAUUCAAAGUCAAAUAAGAAUUCUCGGGAGUAUACAGUCUAGAAGAGCACCAGAUUAGUAAAUUCACAACCUCAGUACGGUACAAAAUACUCAGCACAAAUAUGGGCACAAUAGGAACACAGGAGAGGGUGAAAAAGUUAGAAGUCAGGGCUGCUUUCCUGUGGAAUAAUUUGUGAGCUGUAUUUUGAAACACAAGUAGAAAUUCUUUGAAUCUAAGUACCUGGUGAGUGUAAGAAUGAAGUCAUGGUAAAGUAUAACUUCUUCAGGGAACUGUGAAUGGCUUUCUAGAACUAAAAUUAAUGGAGACCUGGGAGCUCAAAGGUCUGGAAAAAAAGUAUAACACCAAUGUAUUACUUUUCCUGGGGAAAAUCUGCAUUUUAAGUGGUGGUGGCAGUUAGGAAUGGAUUGGUAGCAAAGACUUAUUCAAUGAAAAAGAGGUAAAUUACAUGAUGUAAUUAGAUAUUUUAUACCCUUUACUGAAUUCACACAAUGAUUCAUCUACCAUUACAGCAGCUCUGGAAAGUAGAAAUAUAAUAUGAGCCUUGUGUGAUUUAAAAUUUCCUGGGAGUUGCACUUAUAAAAUGUAAGAAGAAAUAAAAAAUGAAUUUUUCAUGGUUCAAUAUAGCCAAGAAAAUAUAAUUGUAACCCGUAGAAAUGACUUGAUUGACAUUUUAUUUUGUACAAUAUUUGAAAUCUGGUGUAUUAGUGUGCACAUCAUUUUUAUUAGCUAUGGUUCAAGUGAUUGAUAGGCACUUAUGGCUAGUAGCUAAAAGUUCAAAGCCUAAUAGUUUUGGCUGGAAAAUAUCUGCAGAUCUGUGUCAGACCAGCAGAGAAGAUCUCCAUCAGCAAAUAAAAACCUAUGCUGAAGGCCGGGGAUGUAGCUCAGUUAGGUAGAGCCCUGCUCAGUAUGCACAGGCCCUAGGCUCCACACCCAAGAUCACACAUACAUACAAACACACACACACAAACAGAAAGAGCUAAGGCAUGAUGGAAAAGCAAAAUGUCAAAUAAUCUCUAUCAAAGGGUAAUUUCAAUGUAAUUUUAUCAAGCUGUGGAAUAUUUUUAUAAUCUAAUAUUGAUAAUAUGGAAAAUAUAAACCUUUCCACACAACAAUGGACUCCAUUGCUAAGAUACAACUAUAGGAAAAUAAAAAGUUGCUUCACCCUGAUUCUAUCUCCC